rnacentral:rRNA from 1 species
GGGAGGUAGUGACAAUAAAUAACAAUACGGGGUUCUUUAGGAUCUCGUAAUUGGAAUGAGUACAAUUUAAAUCUCUUAACGAGGAACAAUUGGAGGGCAAGUCUGGUGCCAGCAGCCGCGGUAAUUCCAGCUCCAAUAGCGUAUAUUAAAGUUGUUGCAGUUAAAAAGCUCGUAGUUGAAUUUCGGGGUCAGUAGGUUGGUCGUGCCACCGGUACGUACUGGUCUCACUGAUUCCUCCUUCCUGAUGAGCUGUAAUGCCAUUAAUUUGGUGUUGCAGGGAAUCUGGACUGUUA